ACGUAUCAGGUUCCUCCAUAUAUGAAUUACUAUAGAACUCUCUUUAGACGGAGCCUUGAAUAAUCUUGAAAUCUAGAGUCGGCACUCUUCUUUUUGCUCCACUUAUUCAUCUGUCAGGAACUCCAGACAUGAAAUCUGACUUGUCAGUGGUAUUCUAAUUUUAUGACUGAGAUAAGAAGUUGAGGAGAUGAGAAAAGACACAAUAGAACUAGGCUGAAAGAGAGAAAAUGAGAGAGUGUAAUUGUACAGUAUUAUUAAGUCUGCAAAAAUUAUCCUCGAUCUUCUCCUACAAAUUAUUUAUAGUUGACUUAGUACACUUAACAACCUGAUAACAGUCACAACAGAUUCUAUUCAGCUACUAACUAAUACCGUUCAACCGUCAUAAUACUUAAAGUUUCAACAGAUUCUGUUCAACUACUAACUGAUACAGUUCUUCUUCCCAAGUUGAUGUUAAACCUUUAAAUGUUUAUUGACACCAUCCAUCACCUUCUUGAUAUCUAGGUCAAAAGUUAGUAACUUAUGCAAUUUGGAAAUUUUGAGUAGCUUAGCCAACUUGUCUCAUAUGCAUAUUCCGAACUUCUUCCACAAGUGCAUUAUUACGCGCACUGUGAUACUAAUUGAUGUAGGAAAAAUAAGAUAUAAUUUGCCUACUUAAGGAUCUGGGAAAAUUUUAAGUGAUUCUUGGAUAUUAAACCUAGGAUCUCUUAAGAAUUAUACUUGUAGUGGGGGUUUCGUAAGUAUCAGACAUAAGAGCUGAACGUACCACACAACCAAGACAUUGCAAAAACUCUCAUGAUAAUUUAUUCGGUCAUGGCCUGUGCUCAACGAUAAAAUUAAAAAGCUAUUUAUAAUUUUUAAAUAAAAAAUCCUAAUCUAAUGAUAACUAAAGAUCCUAACAGAAAACAUUAAUCUUAACUUAAACUAUAAAUAUAAAAUCCUAAAGUUACUAAAGACAUAAUCUUUUUGAAAAAAAUUACUAAAGACGUAAUCUUAUCUAUGCUAUUACACAAAAUUGUAGACUAGCUAGAAAUAAAAGUCUUAAUUACUUAAAAUCUUUGGUUCAUGUUCAUUCUCCACCAUGCGAUAUACAUAUUAUUGGCUCUACUUGCCUAUUCUAUCAAUAUAAUAAAAAUCAUCCAAAUUACAAACUAUGACAGACCAUAAGAAAUUCUUCCUUAAAGCAUGUGCUAACUGCUAAAAAAAAACCAAAUUAGACAAAACUUGCACUUGAACAUAAUAUGAAUAACAAAAGAUGAUCUUGAGUACGGUGCUUUAGGACAAUUCCAUAACAAGACAUUUCUCGUUUGAUUCAACAUAUUCCCAUCUGAAUUGAAAGCUCUAGGCCGAGCUACAGCUAUCAGAUUGGAGAAAAAUGAACUCGCCGAAGCUUAAAAAGAAGUGUACAUAAAACUUCUCACUAUGAAAUUACUUUAAUUCCAGAUAUUUUUCUGAUUUAAUCCAUCAGUCAGAAAGAAAGUAGAGCUAAUAACAAUUAUGUUGUGCUAACCUUGUAAUAUCAUAUAAAAAAUCUGGAAGAUCCUGAAGUUGAAAUUUGGCGGAGAAUGAAGAAACAAUUUUCACUCACUCCAGCGGACUCAUUAGAUAUAAUUGAAGUCAACUACCCAAAAUUUACACUAGGUCCUAUACUAUAAUAAAAGGCCCAAGCUUUUCCCCUCCAACCCUUCCACACCAUUUACACCCGAAGCUAUUCUAAGCACUAAAAAAGUACCUUUGAUGGAAUCUUCAGCUCCUUCUAUUUUCCUUUCAAUCCAAGGAUAUGGAGUAAAAAAUAGAUAAAAAAGUAUGCUAUCUAAGUGAAUUUUGAACACCAAUUUCAGGAUGUACCGAACUUUUCCCCUUAUUACGUAUCUACAUAAUAUGAAAAACUGAAUUCGCUGGCACAAGGAAAUCCAAUUCCGAAGCAAAAGCAGAAAAUCUACCAUUACAAUUUUUCUUACAACUUGAAGUAAGUAAAUACAAAAAUAGCACCCCCAGUCCCACGAUAAUCCAGCGAGAAACUGAUAAAACCCUAAAGCAGGGAUACAUAGAUUACAGAGAUAAAGAAGGAGAAGAAAAGACAAAGUGUUUGGUACCUGACGUUAGAGGAACCAUUCAUGGGCUGAACGGGCCAAGAGAAACCCGAAUUGGGGACUGAGAAACUCCCAUCCGGGACAGGGAUAUCGUCGAUCAAGGGGUAGUCGUAGAGCCAAUUGGUGUUUUCAGGAGACACCAUUCUGCGACUUUCGUCGAGGGAGAAAACUUGGGAGGGUUUCUCCAGCAAUGAUCAGAUUUUCCCGGAAAACAAAUAGGCGAAAGAGAGAAAAUUGGGGGUUAGAGGGGAGAGAAAACGAGGUUAUUUUCCCCGGAAAAUGGAAUCUAUGGGCGACGGGUGGAAAAUGGAAAAGGGAAGAUGGGGUUGUGAUUGGUGGCAGCUGGUGGUGUGGUUUGACGAGGUUUCGUCAUUCUGCACCCAAUUACGGUCGGGUUUUUUGUGGGUAAUCGGGUGGGCUUUUUCAGCCCAGUACCCGAAAAUAAUCGGGUUGUAGGCCCAAAAACCCAUUAAUAGCAAUUAAAU
rnacentral:lncRNA from 1 species